rnacentral:lncRNA from 1 species
GGCAAGACAAAAAAUUUGAAAUUUCCUGUGGGGGGUGAAGGGGGGAAAUUGAGCAUAUUGAUUUGGAACUGCCAUAUUUCAUCCUGACAGUGCUGCAACCCUUUGUUUUAACAACAGUGUUUUGUUCCAGUUCUUAUCGAUAUGUAUGUACCAUCCCUGAUUAGAUAUUUCAGUACUUCCCAAAAGCAUCCCAACCUUUUUCCUGUCAGAAAACAUCAGUGAAGUGGGAAACACUACUGUGAAAUAUUUUGAUGAGGAAUAGAAGGACACUGUUGCAGUAAAAAUGUUCUAGCCAUCUCUAGCUUUUUUACUGGCACAGUCAUUAAGUUUUACCCUCUUUAAUGGAAAAUGGGCAGAUUAAUGGUUUUGAACAGCAUGCCUCGGUGGGAAGGUACACCACUGCAAGGUCAAAGGCCCUGGACUCCUCGGGCAGGCAGGCUCAGCUCCCAUACUGCCAAAAGCAAGGGGUCCCUGCCUGGAGGUGUCUGUCCCCAUGCCAUCAACCUCAAUGCACCAGACUCCAGUCCAGCUAGGGCUGAAUUACGCUAUUUGUGCCUGUACAUAGAUAGUGCUAGCUUCCCCCUAAGGCCCCCCGCUCUGCCUCAGCAUGGGUCCCAGGAGAACUUGUUUGCUUUGAAGGGUCAAGCUCCUGCCCUUCCAGCCAGCAUGGGGCAAGCUGCCCAUACCAAGCUCUUCCUGGCCAUUUCACAGAAACAUCCCAGUGCAAACACAUAUCAUCUCCCCUGUGUGCCAGUAACCUUCAUGGGAAGGUGUGUAAACCACAGGGAUCCACCAGGAAGAGACCCACCCUUCCUACCCUUGCAGCUGUGCAAUGAAAAUAUCCAGACCUCCUUAACACAUGUGCUCUUUGGGACUUCUCCGCCUCAUCUUCAUAUAAAUAAACAUAGGAAAUGGUUGGUUGCCAGUACCCUAAUGAAAGCUAAUGAGCCCUUGCCCAGCUCUGCAGGACAGGGAGGACAGCUGUCCUCUGCCACAAGGACAGCAUUAAAGCCACUCUUCAGGAGAUGGAGGCUACUUCUGGAGUCCUUGACAGGUUUUCAUGCCCAGGUGGGAUUUCAGGCUUCCACAGGUGCAUUUCCCUCCCUUUCGCUCCAUGUGAAUCCUAUUGGGGUAGCACAUGGGUCCAAGAGGGAC